AACGAUUAGGUAAAACUGACGGACUAGGCGACUCUUCCGCAAGGAUUUGUUGUUUGGGAAGUUAGUUAAAUCUCAUUGUUUAGAGGAAGGAGAAGUCGUAACAAGGUAUCCGUAGUGAACCUGCGGAUGGAUCAUUUC
rnacentral:rRNA from 1 species